rnacentral:rRNA from 1 species
UGAGGAAUAUUGGACAAUGGGGGCAACCCUGAUCCAGCCAUGCCGCGUGAGUGACGAAGGCCCUAGGGUUGUAAAGCUCUUUCAGAUGCGAAGAUAAUGACGGUAACAUCAGAAGAAGCUCCGGCUAAAUUCGUGCCAGCAGCCGCGGUAAUACGAAUGGAGCGAGCGUUGUUCGGAAUCACUGGGCGUAAAGAGUAUGUAGGCGGACUUGAAAGUCAGAAGUGAAAUCCCAGGGCUUAACCCUGGAAUUGCUUUUGAAACUUCAAGUCUCGAGUCCCGGAGGGGUUGACGGAAUUCCGAGUGUAGAGGUGAAAUUCGCAGAUAUUCGGAGGAACACCAGUGGCGUAGGCGGUCAACUGGACGGGUACUGACGCUGAGAUACGAAAGCGUGGGGAGCAAACAGGAUUAGAUACCCCUGUAGUCC